rnacentral:rRNA from 1 species
UACGUAGGGUGCGAGCGUUAAUCGGAAUUACUGGGCGUAAAGCGUGCGCAGGCGGUUUUGUAAGUCAGAUGUGAAAUCCCCGGGCUUAACCUGGGAAUGGCAUUUGGGACUGCAAGGCUCGAGUGCGGCAGAGGAGACUGGAAUUCCUGGUGUAGCAGUGAAAUGCGCAGAUAUCAGGAGGAACACCGGUGGCGAAGGCGGGUCUCUGGGCCGAUACUGACGCUGAGGAGCGAAAGCGUGGGGAGCGAACAGG